GAUGAACGCUAGCUACAGGCUUAACACAUGCAAGUCGAGGGGUAACGAGAGGAAAGCCUGCUUUCCUUGUCGACGACCGGCGCACGGGUGAGUAACGCGUAUCCAACCUGCCCCCAACUAAGGAAUAACCUUGCGAAAGUAAGACUAAUACCUUAUAAUUUCCUCAGAUGUCAUCUGACGAGGAAUAAAGAUUUAUCGGUGGUGGAUGGGGAUGCGUCUGAUUAGCUUGUUGGCGGGGUAACGGCCCACCAAGGCAACGAGCAGUAGGGGUUCUGAGAGGAAGGUCCCGCACAUUGGAACUGAGACACGGUCCAAACUCCUACGGGAGGCAGCAGUGAGGAAUAUUGGUCAAUGGGCGGAAGCCUGAACCAGCCAAGUAGCGUGCAGGAUGACGGCCCUAUGGGUUGUAAACUGCUUUUAUACAGGAAUAAAGUUAGCCACGUGUGGUUAUUUGUAGGUACUGUAUGAAUAAGGACCGGUUAAUUCCGUGCCAGCCGCCGCGGUAA
rnacentral:rRNA from 1 species